GAUGCCUGCCCGGUGCUGGAAGGUUAAUUGAUGGUGUUAUCGCAAGAGAAGCUCCUGAUCGAAGCCCCAGUAAACGGCGGCCGUAACUAUAACGGUCCUAAGGUAGCGAAAUUCCUUGUCGGGUAAGUUCCGACCUGCACGAAUGGCAUAAUGAUGGCCAGGCUGUCUCCACCCGAGACUCAGUGAAAUUGAAAUCGCCGUGAAGAUGCGGUGUACCCGCGGCUAGACGGAAAGACCCCGUGAACCUUUACUAUAGCUUGACACUGAACAUUGAAUUUUGAUGUGUAGGAUAGGUGGGAGCCUUUGAAGCAGUCACGCCAGUGAUUGUGGAGGCGUCCUUGAAAUACCACCCUUUAACGUUUGAUGUUCUAACGAAGAUUGCGGAACGCGGUCUCGGACAGUGUCUGGUGGGUAGUUUGACUGGGGCGGUCUCCUCCCAAAGAGUAACGGAGGAGCACGAAGGUUUGCUAAUCACGGUCGGACAUCGUGAGGUUAGUGCAAUGGUAUAAGCAAGCUUAACUGCGAGACAGACAAGUCGAGCAGGUGCGAAAGCAGGUCAUAGUGAUCCGGUGGUUCUGAAUGGAAGGGCCAUCGCUCAACGGAUAAAAGGUACUCCGGGGAUAACAGGCUGAUACCGCCCAAGAGUUCAUAUCGACGGCGGUGUUUGGCACCUCGAUGUCGGCUCAUCACAUCCUGGGGCUGAAGUAGGUCCCAAGGGUAUGGCUGUUCGCCAUUUAAAGUGGUACGCGAGCUGGGUUUAGAACGUCGUGA
rnacentral:rRNA from 1 species